AGGAGGAGGAAGAGAAGGAGGAGGAGGAGGAGGAGGAGAAAGUGGCUCUCAGCGGCCGGUCGGAUUAAAAGUAACCAGACUCGUCCAGAAAACUGCGUCCAGGAAGGAAGUGACAGAAGACGAAUGGGAAAAGGAGAACAGCUCACAGCGUUUGAAACAUCGCGGCACCACUUUCAGAUAAAAACAUAGACCUGAAUGGCAUCAUCCAGUAUCCAAGGAAACCAUAACAGAUUGGAAGAAUGCGAAAUGUUAUUAGACACAGGCACAGCAUAGCAGUAGAAACAUCUUAACUGAGAACUUGGAACUGAAAGAGAAAGCAACCAACUUAAAGGGCAGACAAGACACAUGGUUAUGUAACACAGCAGUGGGUAUUCACAGUGAUGACACAAGACAAAACAAUUACAUUUUCAUUCUAAAAGUAAUUUUUAAGGAGGCAAGGGCAUUUAUAAAACAUUUUAGAAACUAUUUAAUAAAAAUGGUAAAAUUAAAGUGUUUGUUUAUGUACUCAACAAAUAUUUAUUUGGAAAGUGCAUGCCUGGGGGCACAUCUCGUUAAUGAGGUGAUCCUGUGUUUAGAACUGAAGGCAGUCCUCAUCCAUUCUCUCAAAAGGUGACCUUCUUUGUUCUUCUUAUAGCCUCACCACAUUUAAUUUUCAGAGGUUUUGACAUAAAUUAAAAACAUUCUUUGGUAGAUUGUAUUGUAUGAAAACAAUCUUCAAAAGUGUAAGCAUUGAUAUCUGGAAUAUCUGGGAAAAUGUACAAUAAAGACAUCUCUUCUGGUCUUCCUCUGAUGGUAAUGUGUUCACUAUUAUACUGAUGAUGUAAGCUAUGUAUGUAAACCUAUGCAGGUAAAAUUCUGCUAAAGCCAAUCCCACUACAAAACAACAACAACAACAAACCCCAAGUGGCAUCUGAAGAGCUUGGGAAUUCCAGGAAUGUGAUAAAAAUGUUUUUAAUAAUACACGGAAAAAUAAUUUAGUGUGUAAAUAAUAUUU
rnacentral:lncRNA from 1 species